UCCAGCCAAGGGCUCCCCAGAAGGGAAAGGGGAGCAGGACUUCCCUGCUUAGGUCCCUUUGCUGUUUCUUUUUCCUCCUCCCCCUCUCUUUGGAAAGGAUAGGGAAGGACUUGAUUUGUAAAGAUUUAUAAGAAUUUUGAAAGCUCUUUAAGUAAUGCCAUUACCCAAUUUAUCUCUCCUUUUUGAAACUAGUGAUCCUCCCAAAUCAGUUAGAGUUUACAGCUGUGGAGAUGAAAGUCAAGGCAAGUUGAUGCAUUUAAAUAAAUGCCUGGAAUGCCUAAAACGUUCAUCCACAACCACUCUCCCUAUUUAUCUCUCAAGCUGAAUCUUAGAAUGGCUUGGGUUGGAAUGGAGCAUUUUAGAUCGUCUAAUCCACCCUUCCUGCCAUGUGCAGAGGGACAUCUCUCACAGAUCAGGCUGCUCAGAGCUUUGUCCAACCUGACCUUGAAUAUUUCCAGAGUGGAAGUCACUAUGCAAGACAAGCCUGCUAGAACCUGACACCAUGGUGUGACACACAUCCCACCACUGGAGCUGGGGAUACCAACCCAGAUAAAACCAUAGAAUAAACAUGAAUGAUGAGCUGGGUAUCAAGUUGACCAGGACUAAAGGACUAAGGAAACUCUGGCCUUCACUAGUGUAAAUCUUCAAUGUUUUGCUUUGCUGACCCUCCAAAACCUGUGAAGGAAAAUGUUCUACAAAUGUCUUUCUGGAAAAUUAUGCCUUGAAGUAGUGCAUCUUGAGGCAUUUCAGAACUGUGUUGUUUGAACCCUCUUGUUUCUGGUAGCUUGGUAUCACAAAGGCAUGAGAACCAAAACAGGGAAUAUUCUGGAACACAAAGAAGAAGCUUCUGACUGCCGCCCUAAAGCAAGCCAAGCCAUGGAUGUCAGAUGGCCAAAGGAAAUUUAUCUUCAUCUGCAUGUGACCAAGAGAUACAUCUUCCCUAACCUGUGGGAUUUACAAGAGGUGGAAUGGAACAAUACAUGACUGAACAGUCCUUGUUUUUUUUGUAUUCAGCACAAUUUUUCCCUCAAAGUGGAGUCCACACAAUUGGAAAAAGUGCAGCCAUCAUCCUCCUAGGAACAAGUAAACCUGAGAUACCUGGAUAAGAAUUUCUCUUAUUUGCUUCAGAAGGAAUGCUUCAAGGUACUGAUUGAUCUCAUCCUCCUGUCUGAAAUCAACUGCCAUGUCCAUUAGCAACAUCUGUGGGUAGAGAAAAGCACUGGAAAAAGCAGAAGGUUAAAAACACAGCAAAACAGAGAACUUGGCCUGCCUGACAAGCUGGACAAGUGACUGCUUGCAGAGCUUUCCCUACUUUUGAGAGAAAAAAAAAAAGUGUUAUCUAGAAAUGAACUCUUUGUGAGCACAAGGACAAUGCAGCCAGGUUAUCUUUCUGUCUUGAAACAGUGUUAGGAUUAAAGCAGGAUUAAUGUGGAGGUUUUGCGUUUUUCUGUGGUGUUUUUUUUUUUUUUUUUUUUUGCUGUUGUUGUUUUGGUUUUUUAGGUUUUUUUGUGGGUUUUUGUUUUGUUUUGUUUUGUUCUUAUUGGUUUUUUGGUGUUUUUUUUUUUGGUGGGGAGGGAGGGGAAGGGUUUUCUAGAUAUAGCACUGUAAUUUAGGAGACUAAGAAUUUGAAGUCACAGUGCUGGACUCCUCACCUGAUGUGCGACUUUCAAAAUACCAGCAUUUCAAUUCCCAUUCUUAGUCUUGACAGAUAAAUGGUGUAAUACAUGGAAAUGUUCAGAUGUUUACUCUGGGCCCUGGAAGAUAUUUAGAUAUUUGAACUAACCUGAGUUUCAGCAAUGUAGUUCUGCUGAAGACAUAUCUGUUUAGGUUUGUUUGUUGUUUUUUUUCCUUUUGGUAGUGUCUAGGGAAGAGAAUGAAGAUGUCGGACUCACAGCCCAGACCUACCAAUUCAAACUUCUUGUUCAAGAAUUUUUUUUCUCUUCCUCCACUUACCACUCAGGUCUCAGAGUUUACCAGACUCAUACAAGGGGGACCCAGUCCUUUGUCAGUGCUUUUGACUUGAAUGCUGUCCAAGCACCUGUAUUUAGACUGCAUUUUGAGACAUCUAUCCUCCAACUACAGAAUCCUUAGUAACAAUUUUCCUAGCAAUGUUUUUGACAACUAUUACUGUAUUGUAAAACUGAAGUAGAAGUACUCAACAUAUUUUCUAAUAUUGAUGGUUUGGUAUUUCUUCCAAAUAAGCAGCUUCAGAGAUGCUAAAAGCAGGAUUCCUCAGACUGGACCUGAGUAUUUCCACUGCAAGCGUCUAUGUUUAUGUUCACUGUCUAAGCAGUUUUUAGUCAGCAAUGAGUUACUUGAUGUAAUUUAGAGUGUACUUUCAAAGUAAAAUACACUGACAUCUGA